rnacentral:rRNA from 1 species
UACAGAGGUCCCGAGCGUUGUUCGGAUUCAUUGGGCGUAAAGGGUGCGUAGGCGGGGAAGUAAGUUUGGUGUGAAAUCCCGGGGCUCAACCUCUGGACUGCAUUGAAUACUGCAUCCCUAGAGUACUGGAGAGGAAACUGGAAUUUACGGUGUAGCAGUGAAAUGCGUAGAGAUCGUAAGGAAGACCAGUGGCGAAGGCGAGUUUCUGGACAGUUACUGACGCUGAGGCACGAAGGCCAGGGGAGCAAACGGG